GCUCUAACUGGGGUGUUUUGGGACCGAUUGGCGGGGAAUUGCUACAGACAAAAUACACACGGCCAUACACUGUGAUGUGGAGAUAGGUCUGGCAAUGCGAGACUACUCCGCUCUGUACUGAGACAUCUGGUCAGAAAGGCCAAUUUACAUCUUGGCCGACCCAUCCCACCCCUUACACCAGGAGUUCCACCUUCUGCCCUCUGGGUGGAGGUAUAGGGUCCCUCGGCUCAGGAGCUCCAGAGCUUAUAGCGCCUUCAUUUCUA